AUGAGUUCCCAGAUGGAAUUCUGUCCCUAUGAGCAGCUCCAAGCCUGCAGGGNUCCCAAAAUAUUCACUCUUCCCAAACCCAUCCAUCCUUUCCCAAACCCCUUCAUCAUUCCCAAAAUCUUCCCCUUUCCCAAACCCCUUCACCCUUUUCGAAAUCCCAUCCCCUUUCCCAAACCCUUUCACCCUUUCCCAAAAUUUCACCCUUUUCCAAGUCCCAUCACCUUUCCCAAACUCCUUCACCCUUCCCCAAAAUCUUCACCCCUUCCCGAACUCCUUCACUUUUCCCAAAAUCUUCCCCUUCCCCAAACUCCUUCACCCUUCCCAAUCUUCUUUCCCAAAUUCCUUCACUUUUCUCAAAAUCUUCUUUCCCAAACCCUUUCACCUUUCCUAAAAUCUCACCCUUUUCCAAAUCUUAUCACCUUUCCCAAAAUCUCCCCCUUUCCCAAACCCCCUCCACCUCUCCCAAUCCCUUUCACCCUUUCCCAAAAUAUUCACUCUUCCCAAACCCAUCCAUCCUUUCCCAAACCCCUUCAUUAUUCCCAAAAUCUUCUCCUUUCCCAAACCCCUUCACCCUUUUCCAAGUCCCAUCACCUUUCCCAAACCCUUUCACCCUUUCCCAAAAUCUCACCCUUUUCCAAGUCCCAUCACCUUUCCCAAAAUCUUCACCCCUUCCCAAACCACCUCCACCCUUCCCAAACCUCAUUCACUCUUUCCAAAAUCUUCACCCCUUCCCGAAUUCCUUCACUUUUCCCAAAAUCUUCCCCUUCCCCAAACCCCUUCACCCUUCCCAAUCUUCUUUCCCAAAUCCCUUCACUUUUCCCAAAAUCUUCCCCUUUCCCAAACCCCUUCACCCUUUUCGAAAUCCCAUCCCCUUUCCCAAACACUUUCACCCUUUCCCAAAAUCUCACCCUUUUCCAAGUCCCAUCACCUUUCCCAAAAUCUUCACCCCUUCCCAAACCUCAUUCACUCUUUCCAAAAUUUUCAUUUUCACCCCUUUCCAAACCCCUUCCCCUUUCCCAAACUCCUUCACCCUUCCCCAAAAUCUUCACCCCUUCCCAAAUUCCUUCACUUUUCUCAAAAUCUUCCCCUUCCCAAAUCCUUUCACCCUUUCCCAAACCUUUCACCUUUCCUAAAAUCUCACCCUUUUCCAAAUCCCAUCACCUUUCCCAAACUCCUUCACCCUUCCCCAAAAUCUUCACCCCUUCCAAAUUCCUUCACUAUUCCCAAAAUCUUCCCCUUCCCCAAACCACCUCCACCCUUCCCAAACCCCCUUUCUUCACCCCUUCCUAA
rnacentral:lncRNA from 1 species